GACGAAGGGGGCUAGCGUUGUUCGGAAUUACUGGGCGUAAAGCGCGUGUAGGCGGUUGCCCAAGUCGGGUGUGAAAGGCCUUAGAGCUCAACUCAAGAAAUAGCACUCGGUACUGGGUGACUAGAGGACCGGAGAGGAUAGUGGAAUUCCCAGUGAUAGUGGUGAAAUACGUAGAGAUUGGGAAGAACACCAGUGGCGAAGGCGGCUAUCUGGACGGUUUCUGACGCUAAGACGCGAAAGCGUGGGGAGC
rnacentral:rRNA from 1 species